rnacentral:rRNA from 1 species
GGUUAAGCGACUAAGCGUACACGGUGGAUGCCCUGGCAGUCAGAGGCGAUGAAGGACGUGCUAAUCUGCGAUAAGCGUCGGUAAGGUGAUAUGAACCGUUAUAACCGGCGAUUUCCGAAUGGGGAAACCCAGUGUGAUUCGUCACACUAUCAUUAACUGAAUCCAUAGGUUAAUGAGGCGAACCGGGGGAACUGAAACAUCUAAGUACCCCGAGGAAAAGAAAUCAACCGAGAUUCCCCCAGUAGCGGCGAGCGAACGGGGAGCAGCCCAGAGCCUGAAUCAGUGUGUGUGUUAGUGGAAGCGUCUGGAAAGGCGUGCGAUACAGGGUGACAGCCCCGUACACAAAAAUGCACAUACUGUGAGCUCGAUGAGUAGGGCGGGACACGUGGUAUCCUGUCUGAAUAUGGGGGGACCAUCCUCCAAGGCUAAAUACUCCUGACUGACCGAUAGUGAACCAGUACCGUGAGGGAAAGGCGAAAAGAACCCCGGCGAGGGGAGUGAAAAAGAACCUGAAACCGUGUACGUACAAGCAGUGGGAGCACGCUUAGGCGUGUGACUGCGUACCUUUUGUAUAAUGGGUCAGCGACUUAUAUUCUGUAGCAAGGUUAACCGAAUAGGGGAGCCGAAGGGAAACCGAGUCUUAACUGGGCGUUAAGUUGCAGGGUAUAGACCCGAAACCCGGUGAUCUAGCCAUGGGCAGGUUGAAGGUUGGGUAACACUAACUGGAGGACCGAACCGACUAAUGUUGAAAAAUUAGCGGAUGACUUGUGGCUGGGGGUGAAAGGCCAAUCAAACCGGGAGAUAGCUGGUUCUCCCCGAAAGCUAUUUAGGUAGCGCCUCGUGAAUUCAUCUCCGGGGGUAGAGCACUGUUUCGGCAAGGGGGUCAUCCCGACUUACCAACCCGAUGCAAACUGCGAAUACCGGAGAAUGUUAUCACGGGAGACACACGGCGGGUGCUAACGUCCGUCGUGAAGAGGGAAACAACCCAGACCGCCAGCUAAGGUCCCAAAGUCAUGGUUAAGUGGGAAACGAUGUGGGAAGGCCCAGACAGCCAGGAUGUUGGCUUAGAAGCAGCCAUCAUUUAAAGAAAGCGUAAUAGCUCACUGGUCGAGUCGGCCUGCGCGGAAGAUGUAACGGGGCUAAACCAUGCACCGAAGCUGCGGCAGCGACGCUUAUGCGUUGUUGGGUAGGGGAGCGUUCUGUAAGCCUGUGAAGGUGUGCUGUGAGGUAUGCUGGAGGUAUCAGAAGUGCGAAUGCUGACAUAAGUAACGAUAAAGCGGGUGAAAAGCCCGCUCGCCGGAAGACCAAGGGUUCCUGUCCAACGUUAAUCGGGGCAGGGUGAGUCGACCCCUAAGGCGAGGCCGAAAGGCGUAGUCGAUGGGAAACAGGUUAAUAUUCCUGUACUUGGUGUUACUGCGAAGGGGGGACGGAGAAGGCUAUGUUGGCCGGGCGACGGUUGUCCCGGUUUAAGCGUGUAGGCUGGUUUUCCAGGCAAAUCCGGAAAAUCAAGGCCGAGGCGUGAUGACGAGGCACUACGGUGCUGAAGCAACAAAUGCCCUGCUUCCAGGAAAAGCCUCUAAGCAUCAGGUAACAUCAAAUCGUACCCCAAACCGACACAGGUGGUCAGGUAGAGAAUACCAAGGCGCUUGAGAGAACUCGGGUGAAGGAACUAGGCAAAAUGGUGCCGUAACUUCGGGAGAAGGCACGCUGAUACGUAGGUGAAGCGACUUGCUCGUGGAGCUGAAAUCAGUCGAAGAUACCAGCUGGCUGCAACUGUUUAUUAAAAACACAGCACUGUGCAAACACGAAAGUGGACGUAUACGGUGUGACGCCUGCCCGGUGCCGGAAGGUUAAUUGAUGGGGUUAGCGCAAGCGAAGCUCUUGAUCGAAGCCCCGGUAAACGGCGGCCGUAACUAUAACGGUCCUAAGGUAGCGAAAUUCCUUGUCGGGUAAGUUCCGACCUGCACGAAUGGCGUAAUGAUGGCCAGGCUGUCUCCACCCGAGACUCAGUGAAAUUGAACUCGCUGUGAAGAUGCAGUGUACCCGCGGCAAGACGGAAAGACCCCGUGAACCUUUACUAUAGCUUGACACUGAACAUUGAGCCUUGAUGUGUAGGAUAGGUGGGAGGCUUUGAAGUGUGGACGCCA